rnacentral:tRNA from 1 species
AAGUCCGAUAAAGGGCU